AAGAAGAAAGAGAAGGAAGGAAAGAAAGAGGGAAGGGAAAAAAGAAGCAGAGAAGGAAGGAAAGAUAGAGAAGGAUGGAAAGAAGGAAAGAAAAAAGAGAAGGAAAGAAAGAGGGAAUGAAAGAGAGAAAGAGGGAGGGAAGGGAAAAAAGAAGCAGAGAAGGAAGGAAAGAAAGGUAGAGAAGGACAGAGAAGGAAGGAAAGAAAGAGGGAAUGAAGGAGAGAAAGAGGGAAGGGAAAAAAGAAGCAGAGAAGGAAGCAAAGGUAGAGAAGGAUUGAAAGAAAGGUAGAGAAUGAAAGAAAAAAGAA